rnacentral:lncRNA from 1 species
CUGAAAUUUAAACUAUCCAAUAAGAUAAUGUCACGUAGCAAAGUGUAAAUUAAAGUGUACAUAAUAGUUUACAAGGGUCAUGUCUAGCCUCUCAAUUGAAAUAAAUUAACAUUUUAAACGAAAAUAUAUGAAACGAACUGUGGACCACUUCCCCAUUUCCCAAUGUUUACAAAAGUCAUACGAAUAAUUGACAAUAACAAUUUACGAAAUAGCCCACAAAGAGUCCUGCAUGGCAUUUAAUAUUCACCAUCAUGUUUUGCCUCCCAUCUAGAAUUGGAAAGACAUUCAAUCAAAGAUUACCAAAUAUCAAUUAACAAAAAAUAAGUAACUCUUUAUUCGAUAAAUAUCAACUUUUCUAAUGAUGACGAAAAUUCUAUUAAGUUUUGCAACUAUAAAUGUAAGUUAGGUCACAAGUUGACUUCAAUACAGAAGUACAAGUUGACUUAUAAACUUCUUUAAGAUACACACCUAUGGAGUACAGGUUUGAUCAUGUUGUUUGCAGUAAGACUGUAAUUUACAAGGAGAAGGACCAUGUUUUCCAUGGUUCCAUCGUGGAAUUGGUUUGACUUGCCACCAUCGGCAUCUACUGGAAUGAUAUUUCAAUGACAUUGCAGCUGUAAUAGCAGCAUGGGGAAGGAAAGCACAAUAGUUGGUUUUUCCAUUUUCAUAGAUUCGGAUAGACUAUGGAUUCAAACCAUUUCUUUCGUACUCUG